AGAGGUGUAGCUCAAUGGUAGAGCAUGUGCCUAGCAGGCAUGAGGCCCUGAGUUCAAUUCCCAGCACCGCAA
rnacentral:tRNA from 1 species